rnacentral:rRNA from 1 species
UACGUAGGGGGCUAGCAUUGUCCGGAAUCAUUGGGCGUAAAGAGCGUGUAGGCGGCCCGGUAAGUCCGCUGUGAAAGUCCAGGGCUCAACCCUGGGAUGCCGGUCGAUACUGCCGGACUAGAGUUCGGAAGAGGCGAGUGGAAUUCCCGGUGUAGCGGUGAAAUGCGUAGAUAUCCGGAGGAACACCAGUGGCGAAGGCGACUUUCUGGCCUGUUCUUGACGCUGAGGCGCGAAAGCUAGGGGAGCAAACGGG